rnacentral:rRNA from 1 species
CCUACGGGAGGCAGCAGUGGGGAAUAUUGCGCAAUGGGCGAAAGCCUGACGCAGCGACGCCGCGUGAGGGAUGAAGGUCUUCGGAUCGUUAAACUCUGUCAGCAGGGAAGAACGGUCACUGUGCUAAUCAGCAGUGAAUUGACGGUACCUGCAAAGGAAGCACAGGCUAACUCCGUGCCCGCAGCCGCGGUAAUACGGAGGGUGCGAGCGUUAAUCGGAAUUACUGGGGGUAAGGCGCUCGUAGGCGGUAUGUCAAGUCAAGGGUGAAAUCCCCGCGCUCAACGUGGGAACUGCCUUUGAAACUGGCAAACUGGAGUGUGUGAGAGGAUAGUGGAAUGCCAGGUGUAGGAGUGAAAUCCGUAGAUAUCUGGAGGAACAUCAGUGGCGAAGGCGACUAUCUGGCACAUAACUGACGCUGAGGAGCGAAAGCGUGGGUAGCAAACAGGAUUAGAUACCCCAGUAGUC